rnacentral:rRNA from 1 species
CCUACGGGUGGCUGCAGUGGGGAAUAUUGGACAAUGGGCGAAAGCCUGAUCCAGCCAUGCCGCGUGUGUGAAGAAGGCCUUCGGGUUGUAAAGCACUUUCAGUGGGGAAGAAAGCCUUGGGGCUAAUACCCUCGAGGAAGGACAUCACCCACAGAAGAAGCACCGGCUAACUCCGUGCCAGCAGCCGCGGUAAUACGGAGGGUGCGAGCGUUAAUCGGAAUUACUGGGCGUAAAGCGCGCGUAGGCGGUCUGAUAAGCCGGUUGGGAAAGCCCCGGGCUCAACCUGGGAACGGCAUCCGGAACUGUCAGGCUAGAGUGCAGGAGAGGAAGGUAGAAUUCCCGGUGUAGCAGUGAAAUGCGUAGAGAUCGGGAGGAAUACCAGUGGCGAAGGCGGCCUUCUGGACUGACACUGACGCUGAGGUGCGAAAGCGUGGGUAGCAAACAGGAUUAGAUACCCCAGUAGUC